rnacentral:rRNA from 1 species
GGACGAACGCUGGCGGCGUGCUUAACCCAUGCAAGUCGAACGGAAAGGCCCUGCUUGCAGGGUACUCGAGUGGCGAACGGGUGAGUAACACGUGGGUGAUCUGCCCUGCACUUCGGGAUAAGCCUGGGAAACUGGGUCUAAUACCGGAUAGGAGCCAUUUUUAGUGUGAUGGUUGGAAAGUUUUUUCGGUGUAGGAUGAGCUCGCGGCCUAUCAGCUUGUUGGUGGGGUAAUGGCCUACCAAGGCGGCGACGGGUAGCCGGCCUGAGAGGGUGGACGGCCACAUUGGGACUGAGAUACGGCCCAGACUCCUACGGGAGGCAUCAGUGGGGAAUAUUGCACAAUGGGCGCAAGCCUGAUGCAGCGACGCCGCGUGGGGGAUGACGGCCUUCGGGUUGUAAACUCCUUUCGCUAGGGACGAAGCUUUUUGUGACGGUACCUAGAUAAGAAGCACCGGCUAACUACGUG